GAUCAUGGCUCAGGAUGAACGCUAGCUACAGGCUUAACACAUGCAAGUCGAGGGGGCAGCAUUUUAGUUUUGCUUGCAAACUGAAGAUGGCGACCGGCGCACGGGUGAGUAACACGUAUCCAACCUGCCGAUAACUCCGGAAUAGCCUUUCGAAAGAAAGAUUAAUACCGGAUAGCAUACGAAUAUCGCAUGAUAUUUUUAUUAAAGAAUUUCGGUUAUCGAUGGGGAUGCGUUCCAUUAGUUUG
rnacentral:rRNA from 1 species